UUUCUUAUGAUGAUUUUAUAUACUUUCGUUCUUCUGAGACUUCUGAGGACACCUACUCAAUCUGAAGAGA